rnacentral:lncRNA from 1 species
CUGCUUGUUCAACACCAGGUGCAAGUAGAAUUUUGAUUCCAGAAGCUAAAUAUGCAUUACGGGAUGUACUUUUGGAAGGCCCUUGUAAGGGUUCAAUGGUACUUCAAAUUAAAGGAACCUUAAUGGCCCCAGCAGACCCUAGUGAGCACCAUAGCCAGGGUUGGAUUACUUUCCAACAUGUCGAUCAUUUAACUAUAUCUGGAGGUAAUUUGGAUGGUCGAGGAAAAAUUGCAUGGGGAAAAAAUACUUGUCGUACGAAUGUAAAUUGCAAGAAUCUCCCAAUGGUAUGUUAUUCAUCAAUACCAUGUCACACAUUUUACUAUUUUAUUAUAAGAAGUACUAUUGCUAAUAAUAUUAACAUAUGUGUGAUGUUUUCACAAUCUUUAUCAGAAUUUAAGGUUUGAUUUUGUCACCAAUACCAUCGUUGAAAAUUUAACUUCCCGGGAUAGUAAGAAUUUUCACAUGAAUCUCAUCGGGUGCCAAAAUUUCACACUGCAACGUAUUAAGAUUAUAGCGCCUGGUGAUAGUGCUAAUACAGACGGAAUUCACAUUGGACGUUCUAAUGAAGUAAACAUUAUUGAUUCAAAGAUCGGCACUGGUGAUGAUUGCAUCUCUAUUGGUGAUGGUAGUCGGAAUAUCAAAAUCACAGGAGUAAGAUGUGGACCAGGUCACGGUAUUAGCAUUGGAAGCUUAGGAAAAUACAAAAAUGAAGAACCUGUUAGUGGAGUUUAUGUUAAGAAAUGCGACCUUAUAAAUACUUCUAAUGGCAUAAGAAUUAAGUCUUGGCCAGGAUUAUACAGUGGCGCUGCAACUGAUAUGCAUUUUGAAGAUAUUUCCAUGAAUAACGUGAGCAAUGCUAUCCUCAUAGAUCAAAUGUACUGUCCUUGGAACCACUGCAAUUCCAAGGUAAUUUUCAACAUUAUAGGAAAUGAAAAGAAAUAUAAAUAAUUUUCUUAAUUUGUAUAUAUUUGAUAAAUAGUCAACUAAUCUUUUGUACAUAUGUAUCUAAUCUUUUAAUUUUUUUUAUCCUUACAGGCUUCAUCAAAUGUUAAGAUCAGUAAGGUUACUUUCUCUAAUAUAAAGGGCACUUCUUCAACUCCUACUAUCGUUAAGCUUUUAUGCAGCAAAGGCUUACCAUGCGAGGGCGUGGAACUCAAUAAUAUUAACGUCGUAUAUAAGGGUCCUGAUGGUCCUGCAAAAUCUGAAUGUACAAAUGUCAAGCCUAAAAUUGGGAUACGAACAGAUGUGCUUCGUGGAUGCUAACGUCAAAGACUUGAAUUUAUAUUUUUAUUAUAUUCUCUAAAUUUAAUAAUUAUUUGUGAACACUAAAGAUUAUUAUGCAAAACCUUAUUUUGCAGAAAAUUUAAAGAUGGAUCCCACAUGCUUAGUAGAAUAAGGUAUUAGUAGGUUGACAUUGUUAAUGUGGUAAAACCUUGUACUUUUACUUUUGUACUCAUAUUGCUUAUGUUAACAAACUUGCAAUAUUGAUAAAGAUAAUAUAGAAUGAUUUCUACAUUAUUAAUUUAAAUAGCUAUUCUUUUAGUCAUAAUCCAUUUGGUUGAUGAAGUGGACACAUGCAAAUGACUCAUGUACUCCCUUGGCACAAUUUAGCAUAACAACCUUUAGAAAUUCUACCUCUCCUUCCUUUUCUUCCUUUCUCUCGCUGCUCAUAGAGACAACAUACCAAGAACCAAUUCUCUCUAAAGCAAAUCCAUUCGAUUCUCCAAUAAACAACCUAAACAAUAUAUGUCCUAAUUGUGGCAUUGUUACUUGUACCACUAAUGGCGUCUUAUUUCGAUUUUACUACCCGCAUUAAGAGCUGAAGGAAUAAUAGGAAAAUCAGGAAGUAUGAACUACCUAUCGAGUAUAAAAAAUCAACUAGCAUCAUAAAUCUAUCUAUUUUCUCUAGUAAACUUAAAUCCUUUUCAAAUUCUUCAACAUAACACAUGACUUUUCCAAAUAAUUAGAGCAAUUUUAAUUCUCUUCAUUCUCUUUUAACUAUGCAUUUGAUUUCAUCUUAUAAAGGGAUCAAGAAACCUACCAUCAAGUCAACUCAGUGAUGACUCUAGUAGUGCUCCACCGAGUCAUAUUGAUUUAGAUAAGGCCUUGCAAGGUUUAAUUUCAAAACAUUUAGUGAAACCGGAUAGCAAAAAAUGAUUUUAUACAGAUUAUCUAUCACCAUUAUUAUGAUAUUAAAAAAAAUGAAAUAAAACUCAGCUAUAAAGAAACAUAUAGUCUGGGAGGUUGAGGAAUAAAAAGAUGUGUGAUCCCUAUAAAGGAAGAAAGAGAAUGAAAAUGGCGUAUGCAAAUAAAUAAUUUUUAAGAAGUAGCCAAAAUAAACUAUAUAGUUUUUUCUCUUUGAAAACCACCUAUUCUAAUCAGUAUCUACAUUCGUAAAUUGUGAAAUACAUAGACAUAAAAUAACGGGGUGUGUCAACACGCGCAUCACAUUUGUUAACUUAAGGACUAAAUGAGUAUAAUGAUAAAAAUAUAAGGACGAGUUAAGAUGAAAUUGAUGGAUGGGAACCAAGUGAAACAAAGUUGAAUAGUACAGGGACCCAAAUGUAAGUUUUGCCAAAUUGUUAUGGAAAGUUUAGACAAAUCAUUACGAAAGGAAAUGGAGUCUUUUCAUAAUUAUUCCAUGCAUGUGUGCUCAACAAAAUAUGUCAAGGAAUGCGUUACAUCCAUGCAUUUGUAAAUCCCUUUUUCGAGAGAUAAUUAGCAUGAAAUAGGGUUCUUUGCCAUUUUUCUAGUUGGGGGUUCCUUUGUUGUAAGGGGCAGCUCGUCGAAAAUUUCUACAAGGAACUAUGGAUUAAACUCUAAAUAAAUUCGCCAAUUGGAAAAGACAAUUGCUUUCUACGGCUGGUCAAUUGGCCUUGAUAAAUUUGGUAAUUUAUGGCUCCUUUAUUUAUUCAUUUACAAUCUAUAAAUAACCUCAGAAUUUAAUUAUUCCUUUGGAGAAGCAAAUGAGGAAUUUUUUAUGGACUGGUAACAUCUUCAUUCGAAAAUUGGUUGCAUUAGCUUAGAUGGAGUGUUGCAAACCGAUAAAAAAUGGAGGAUUAGGCCUUAAGCAUUUGGCUGAUUUAAAUGAAUGUGUCCUUUUUAAGCUUGCAUGGAAGGUUCGAAGUUCUGCAUCUGCAAUUCUUUGCUUCAGCAGGACUAGGAUUCUUGAUCAAUGGGACUUGCCUCGUCUCAAGUAUUCUCGAUCCUCUAUUUGGAGCUCAAUAUAUAUUUGUUACCUCGAACUUUUUAAAGAAUCUAAAUGGAUAGUGUCUCCAUUUUCCUCCUUGAGUUUCUAGAAUAACAAUUGGUUGGGUGACAUCGUUUCGGAGAAGAUUGAGAAUCAGCCUGCUCUGCAAAGACGCUUGAAAGCUCGCAUUUCUAAUAUUUUUUAUAAUGAUACCUGGCACCUUUCAUCAGCUUUUGCUCAACAUUUUCAUGAGACUACAACUCAUAUAUAGAGCAUGGAUUUUGGUAGCACGAAUUCGUCGGUUUGGAUAGGUUCUCGAAAUGGCACAAUCACAUGUAAGCUUGUAAUGAGUUCUAUGUAUAAUCCUUUGCCCAUUUGCAGGGGAAUAAAUCUUUGUGGAAACAAUAUAUACCUCCAUCAAGGUCCCUUUUGAGUUGACGCCUUUUCACCUUCAAGAUUCCAACAGAUGAUAUCUUGGCGCGUAAGAGCUUUAAUUUGCCCUCCAUUUGUUGCCAUCUUUUGGAACAUUGGAUCAUCUUUUUCUUUGUUUCCCGUUUACAGCAGCUUUCUAGAGAGCAAGUGCACUUUGAUAAGUCCAACCUGAUAUCUCUUUAUUUAUCAGCUCGACAAAAUCCUCAUGGCUCCUAGAUUGCCAACCUUCUCAAUAUAGUUAUAGUCUCGAGCUUUUGGGUCAUUUGGCUUGGCCAGAAUCUUAUUUGGUGUUGUAUUAAGGAGAGUGAGAACUUCGAUAUUUGCACAAUGCCAAACACCUUGAAAGAUAAAUCAAUCCUCCAUCGGCUGUGUAUUUCUCCAAAGCUUGCGAAAGCACCAAAAAUCAUUGAGGUAAGCUGGUGCCCUCCUCUUUCAGGUUGGAUAGAUUAAAUACUAAUAGUUCAACUAGCGGUUCUCCAGGAAAAGCAGGUGCACGUGCGAUCUUCAGAAGUAAUCAAGGCUUUAUUCAUAGGCUCUUUGCUUCUUCUAUAGGAGUUUGUUUUGCUUAUGACGUUGAGAUUGAUGUUAUAAUUAUGGAAUUAGAGAGCCUUGGAAUCUCGGGUUGCAUAAUUUAUGGUUGGAAAGUGAUUCGACAUAUGUUGUAAAUCUUCUGAAAACCAUCUUUUGGAAGUGCCAUGGAAGUGGAGAGCAGCUUGGCAAGUUUGUCUUUCAUUCUUGUCAAAAUGAACUUUGUGGCCUCGCAUAUUUAUAGAGAUGAUUGAUGGUCUUACUGUUUAGGAAAAUUGAUACUGCUGCGAUAAUUUGGUGGAGCUCUCCUCCUUAAUUUUGUAAAUUUUUUUCUAUGAUAGCAAUGGCCGAGUUUGUUAUCCUUUUUAAGGAUGCUUGUGUAGCUCUUUUAUUUCAGUAUGUUCUUUUUGUAUAAUGACUCUGAUAUUAUUUUUUGUUAUUGAUAUAGAUGGAGGAUUAUAUGAUGUGCGGUGCUGAGGGGAUGUCUGCCUAAGCCCGAGUACAUUAUUUGUUAGCCUUUCCAUCAAUCUUUUUUUAAGAAAAAAUAGAGAAACACUAAUUUGAUAGCCCUAAUAGAGGCACUCGACCUUAAUAAUUUGUUUACCUCAGGUAUUUGAAAAUUAAUGAAAUCAUCCUUAAUUUUUUUUAAUAACAUAUAUAAUUCUAGUCCUUUUACUAUAUUUAAGUCUCUUAAAUAGACUCAUAUUUUAAAUAAAAUCAUAUUUUAUUUUCAAUUUCUCAAUUUGUUAAUGAUUAAAAAGUUAUUUUAUAAUUUCAAGAAUAAAAUAACUUCUUAGUUAUUAAAAGAUAGAGAAAUUGAAAUUAAGAUAUGAUAAAAUAAAAAAUAAAUGAUUUUUCACUCAAUCUUCAAAUAAGAAUAACAAAAGUAUAAUUAAGGAUAAAACUUUUGCUUUUCUUAUUACAAUUAUUAUUAUUAUUUUAUUAUUAUUAUUUUUAAUAAAAUAAUCCAUAGGAAAUUAGAGAGUGUACGAGGACAUCUCAAUUAGACUGAUACCUUCAUAGCACUCCUCAUAUCAUAUAAAUUAUAAUAUGUAAUAACCGUUUCUUUAUGAUUAUUUUUUAAUUCAAUUUAUAAUCAUUAAUUAAUUAAAAAUUAUUGAAUUCAGAUCUAGAUUUAUUCUUAAUAGAUAGGUAAACUCAGUCCAAGUAUUUAAUUAAUUUGAAUAAAAUAAAAUAUUAUUACUUAUUGGUAAUUAAUCUCUACACACACAUAGACACACACUCACUUAUAUAUAUAUAUAUAUCCGCUCUCUUCUUGAACAAAUUUCAUAGAAUAAAAGGAUAAAAAAUAUUUUUCUUUAUUUCUAUCUUGAAUUGAGGAAUUCUAAGCUAUAAAGAUAUGAUCAUUUUUCUUAAAAGAAUUUACAUAAGACAUGCUCUAUUUACUUCUUUUUAUGCUUUUUUUGAAAAAUAGCUAAUUUCAAGCUCUUUCUUUGCUCUAGUCUAUCAUUAACUGUGAAAUGGUGAUGUCUAAAGCUGAAAUUCCCGGCACAAGUAUUUUUGGGAUGAGAAAUUCAUGUGGCAUUAGAUUAGACUAAUGAAUAUGAAAGAUGAUCCUUCUAGUGGUGGCAGUCGAAGGAGAUUGUUUUUGUCUCUUUCAAAUGUUCAUUUUGUAAAGAAUCUAUGUUAACCGAUAAUGGAGACUGGCAGAGCAAGUGCAUAUCAGUCUAUAAUGGGAGUUUGGUAGUAAGAUAAUGUUGUUAGGACGUUAGAUGGAGAACGACGAAGGUAGCGGCGGGAAAGAGAACUUGUUGAUAGAAGAGAAAGUGAGGGAAGGGCUAGAAUAGUAAUUUGCCUACAGUGCAAGUUGCUAUUAAGUCCUUUCUUUUUAAAAAAUGCUGCUAUUAAGUCCCUCUAUUUAAUAUAUAUGUAAAUCAUUUAUAUUUUGGCAAGAUCAUCAUUUCUUAAAAUAACUUUAUUAAUGAACCAUACUCUCAUCAUAUUUUAUUACUUAAAUUGGAUUAAAAUAAAGAUUAAAAUAAUAUAAAGUAAUUAUAAUAAAUUAAAUACAUAAAAUUAAUAUAGCACUCACAUAUAUAUUAAAAUAAUUAACCAAUCAAAGAUGCUUAGCGAUUAAAUAAUAUAUCAACACCUAAAUAAAUUCUUAAUAAACAAAUAUUAAAAUACUGAAAUACCCAUGAAACAUUAUCAUUAAAAAAUUAAAAACUUAGGGUUUUUUUUUAAUGGUUGAUUUUUUUUUUAAUUGAUUUUAGUUGAUGUGUGAUAUUUUCUUAAAGAUUUUUAGUAUGAUUGAUGUUUAAUUAAGUUUUAGGGUAUUUGACUUAAGCGUAUUUUUAUAAAUAUAUUUUCUAGAAAGGCGUAUUUUUUUAAACUUUUUUUAGAUAAAAUGCAAUUAUAGUUAUAAAAAGAGAUAUUUUUUGCAAAGAACUAUUUUUAUGCGUGGAAAGCCUAAUGAAUUGUAAGCUACGUAAUAGAAGGUAGUCAUCUCAUUAUACUUACUAUAACGAUGAAAAUUCACCUAAUCCAGAUGUAGGGAUUUCAACUAAAGACAUCUACCUCCCAAAGAAAAAAAUAUUAUUGUCACUUGAGCUAGGUCUCAAAUAUAAAUAUGAAUGCUUUUUUUUAUUUGUUAUUAGUUAAUCUAUUUUAGUAACAUAACCAAAUAGUUUUAGUUUCAUUUUUGAUAUUUUAAAAUCAUUAUUAUGGUAUAUAAUAAUAAUUUUUAAUUAGUAAUAAAAGGAUGGUAUUUUUACUUUAUUCUUUUUAUCAAAAUGAAAAUAUAUCAAUACAACAAGCUGAAAUUAAUUAAAAAAAAUUAAAGGUUAGUAUCCUUAUUCUAAGAAACUAAAGUUUAAUAAAUAAAGAUUAAUAUAAAAUUGAAUUACUAUUAAAAUAACUUUUAUGCACACCCGUCUACACACACACAUAUAUAUAUAUAUAUAUAUAUAUAUAUUUGAAGUUUUUAAGAAUUUAUUUUUUUAUAAUGAUUCUCUUAUAGUGUUUUAACAAUAUUCCCGACUGUUAUGCAUUACCAUUUGACAUUUUCUUCCUUUUAGACAAAUGAAUGGAAAUGAUUAAUCAUAGAAGAAAACUUUUACAAGUCCUAUAGAGGAGAAUCUAGAAUUUAGGAAAAGAUAUUAAAUGAAAAAUGAUGGCCAUCAAUUACAAUUGUUCAAUACAUUAUAUUUAGCUUCAAACACAUAAUUUAAGCUAAAUUUAGAAAACAUGCAUUAAAAUAUUCUUUUAAAUUUAAUCAAUUACACUACUUAUAAAUAAUUCAGAUUCGAACUCUCUUCUCGCAAAAUAACAAGUACCAACAAAAGAAAAAGAAGAAAGCAACCUUAUACAAAGAUGAAAUCUAAAUUGAGUAUUUUAACAAUCUUUGUAUUGUUGUCAAUUUCUUUGAAAAUUAGAGCAGAAAAGGUUUUCGAUGUAAAAAAUUUUGGUGCUACACCUAGCCAAAAGAAUGAUAUUAGUAAGGUAUGUGUGCAUGAAUUUAAUUGUAAUGGUUUUUAUUCUGUUUAGUUCUAAUCUAAAGCCUUCUCUUUUCUUUAUUCAAACUUAGGCUCUAUUAGCUGCUUGGAAGGCUGCUUGUUCAACACCAGGUGCAAGUAAAAUUUUAAUUCCACAUGCUAAAUAUGCAUUACGCGAUGUACUUUUGGAAGGCCCUUGCAAAGGUUCAAUGGUACUUCAAAUUAAAGGAACCUUAAUGGCCCCAGCAGACCCUAGUGAGCACCAUAGCCAGGGUUGGAUUACUUUCCAACAUGUCGAUCAUUUAACUAUAUCUGGAGGUAAUUUGGAUGGUCGAGGAAAAAUUGCAUGGGGGAAAAAUACUUGUCGUACCAAUGUAAAUUGCAAGAAUCUCCCAAUG